rnacentral:rRNA from 1 species
GCAUAUAAGUAAGCGGAGGACAAGAAACUAAAUAGGAUUCCCCUAGUAAUGGCGAAUGAACAGGGAUGAGCUCAGCAUGGAAAUUGGGGUCUCCCGACCUUGAAUUGUAGUCUUGAGAUGUACUGCCAACGGAGGCGCAGAUGUAAGCCUCUUGGAAAAGAGCAUCAACGAGGGUGAGAGUCCCGUUUGUCAUCUGCAGUCCCCCGUGCACGGUGUACCUUCUAAGAGUCACGUUCCUCGGGAUUGGAGCGCAAAGUGGGUGGUAAAUUUCAUCUAAAGCUAAAUAUUGGUUCGAGACCGAUAGCAAACAAGUACCAUGAGGGAAAGGUGAAAAGGACUUUGAAAAGAGAGUUAAAAGUGCCUGAAAUUGCUGAAAGGGAAGCGAAUGGAACCAGUGUUCUUGGUGAGAUUGUUGCGUACUCUGGUGAUUGCUGGGUGUUCCACCGCAAGGGGGGCAUUUGGUUUUGAUCUAGAUGUGCGUGGUGUUUCUUGCCUUGUGUGUCACCGUCGGUGCACGAGCGAGUAAAACUCCAAGGGACAUGGAAACUCGACCAUGGUUGAGUGAAUAUCUUUGGCAGUACUCAUUUGUGUAUCGAUCCCUGCGUGUCUGGUUGCAGUGUUUGGUUCGCUUGGAAUGUUCUUUGAGGAUUCGUCCUUGGAGACGUUUUGGGCGCCCUGAGCAUCUCCCUGACACAAAGACGAUGACUAAAUGGUUUUAUUCGACCCGUCUG